AUUGAACGCUGGCGGCAGGCCUAACACAUGCAAGUCGAGCGGUUGAGGUAGCUUGCUACCGAUGCAGCGGCGGACGGGUGAGUAAUACAUGGGAAUCUGCCUGGUAGUGGGGGACAACGAUUCGAAAGGAACGCUAAUACCGCAAACGCCCUACGGGGGAAAGGGGGGGAUCUUCGGACCUCUCGCUAUCAGAUGAGCCCAUGUCGGAUUAGCUUGUUGGUGGGGUAAAGGCUCACCAAGGCGACGAUCCGUAACUGGUCUGAGAGGAGGAUCAGUCACACUGGAACUGAGACACGGUCCAGACUCCUACGGGAGGCAGCAGUGGGGAAUAUUGGACAAUGGGCGCAAGCCUGAUCCAGCCAUGCCGCGUGUGUGAAGAAGGCCUUAGGGUUGUAAAGCACUUUCAGUGGGGAGAAAGGUCAUUCACCUAAUACGUGAGUGAAUUGAUGUUACCCACAGAAGAAGCACCGGCUAACUCCGUGCCAGCCGCCGCCGUAA
rnacentral:rRNA from 1 species